ACAAAUUGUGACUAAAACUCGAAUUACGUAAAAAUUAGAAUAAAAACCCACAAGAAAUCGCACCUUAAAAGCUUAUCUAGGGUUGCUUGAACUGAUUCGAGUCAGUGGCAGGGUAAGAAAUCGAACACAACUUCGUUCUUUUCGACCGAAUCGGAUGACGGAAAGGGGUUUGCUUUGUCUGAAAAUGAGAGAGAACACGCAUGAUUAGGGCUUGUUUUGGAAUAUCCAUAAAAAAUUUAUUAUACACAAAAGCUUAAAAAUUGGAGACAUACCAAAAUUAGGGCUUGUUUUGGAAGCACAUGAGAGAGAAUCGGAUGAGGGAAGAAAGUCGACCGAAUUGGGCUUCCUUUUGCUAUUACUCGCUUUUCUUUGUUCGAUUUUCCGGAUGAAGAAAAUCGAAUGUCUCCCGUUUGCGUUCCUUUUCAGAUGAGAGAAAUAAGAGCCCAGAGUAUAUCACGCGUUAUGUUUGAGUGAGGAGAGAGAAAUAUCACG
rnacentral:lncRNA from 1 species